rnacentral:rRNA from 1 species
CGACCGGCGCACGGGUGAGUAACACGUAUCCAACCUGCCGAUAACUCGGGGAUAGCCUUUCGAAAGAAAGAUUAAUAUCCGAUAGCAUAUCAAGAUCGCAUGAUCUUGAUAUUAAAGAAUUUCGGUUAUCGAUGGGGAUGCGUUCCAUUAGUUAGUUGGCGGGGUAACGGCCCACCAAGACGACGAUGGAUAGGGGUUCUGAGAGAAAGGUCCCCCACAUUGGAACUGAGACACGGUCCAAACUCCUACGGGAGGCAGCAG